UGGGCGAUAGUGGUCGAUAGUAUGGUUUACCCAUCAGCAAAGAAAUUUGUGCGCAUUUAUUCAAAAGAAAGAAAUGGAUCGCUUCUUUCAAAAAGUAUUUCCAAAGGUCUAAUGACAGGAAAUUCGCCAAGUGCCUAAAUUGGAACAAGGAGUAUAAGACCAGUGGAAACACUUCAAACUUGCAUGACCACCUAGCUAGGUUACACCCGAAUUUGAGGAGCCAUACUCCCGAUUCCGGCAUACCAGCUGCAGAUGCUUGUACUGACAGCGAAAACAUUGCAUCUACAAGCAGCAGUUGCAGAUCGAGUAUGCGGUCAAUGGACUCGUAUUUUAAAAGAGCUGUUGUUUAUGACGCAAACUCCAAGCGAAAAAAAGACAUUGAUAAAGUUUUAACAGAGAUGGUUGCAAAAUAUGUGCAGCCCUUUAGUAUCGUUGAGAACAAAGGCUUUAUCAAAUAUUCCCAAGUUAUGGAUCCACGAUACAAGCUUCCCAGCCGGACACAUUUGAGAGACGUCAUGAUGGCCAAUCUCUUUAAAGGAACUUCGGCGAAAUUGUCAACGAUUUUGGAGGAGAUUUCUGACAUUGCUAUUAUAUGCGACUUGUGGACAUCAAGUGCCAACUCGAGCUUGUUAACCGUCACGGGCCAUUUCGUGCAUGAAUAUGAAAUCAAAACCGCAUCGUUAGCUACAAGGAAACUGAAAGAUGCAACCAAUCACCCAGCGCAAAAUAUUGCAGACACCUUAAAGGAUAUAUUGACAUCUUGGAACGUCUUGGAUGAAUCGGUUUGUAUUGUAACUGACAAUGCCAGCUCAAUGCUAAAAGCAUGUGAAAACUUAAAGAUCAGAAAUCUGCCAUGUUGCGCCCACACCAUUAAUUUGGUGGUCCAAGAUGGUUUAAAGCUUGACCAUGGCGAUGUUUCAAAAGCUUUAUUUUCAAAAUGUAAAACCAUAGUGAGGUUUUUCAAACAAAGUUCUAUUGCGAACGAAAAAUUAAAAUUAGUUCAGGAAAAUUUCGCAUAUACUUUGUUGCAGGAAACCCCAACAAGAUGGAACACCUUUCUCAUUAUGAUACAGAGAAUAUUAGCAACUCAUGAAUCCAUUGCUAGUGUGUUAUUAUCCACCACAAAUGCACCGCUACCAUUUACUGCCGUGGAAAUAAUUGUUUUGAAAGAUUUAGAAAAAAUAUUGUAAUUUUUUAAGAAAGUUUCCGAAAAGAUUUCUGGUGGGAAAUAUGUGACAAUUUCAUUGAUACCAUUGGCAUAUGGACUUUAUCGUCAAGUCGAAAAUCUUUCACCACAGUUAAAAACUGAAGUACGGGAAAAUAUGAAAAAUGCUUUAUUGGAGUCGGUUAAAAAACGCCUAUCUACAUAUGAGCAACGGACUGUAAUUAUGAUGGCCACGAUAUUAGAUCCGCGCUUCAAGAAAGAUGGAUUUCAGCUAAACUCAAAUGCUGAACAAGCUUCAGUCUUUCGGAAAGGGUUUUUAGCAAGGCAGGGCAAAUUGUCUCUGAUAGACGAACAAGGCUCAAGGAAGAAAAUGUAAACGGUUUGCUGUUUUUGAAUAAAAAUCUUUGGUUACAUUAGGAAACAUACAACAGAAUCCAAGAUAUACAAAAAUUUAAAUAUAUAUAUUAAGAAUACAAAUAUAUGAACAAUGUACAGAG